rnacentral:lncRNA from 1 species
GUCUCAGCUGUUAGCAAUAAGGCAACCGCAAAUUUGCAAGAUGUAUUAACUGCUUCAGUAACUGGUAGUUCAAGAAGUUUAAUCCCCAAGACUUCAUGCGACCGUCUGUGACAGGGCUGCCCGAGCUAUACAUCUUUUUCUUGGCCGUGGUUACUGAAAUUCUUCCUCCCUUCGUCCUUCCCUCGAGGGUCAGUUCAGGAAGAAAGAGUAGUAGAUGGAGAGCUGGCUUCUUGUCUUUCCUCAUCCUGCAAAGACUGCCUCCACCACGGACAAGAGGAAUGUGUAAUGUUGCUCAGACAGGCGGAGGAACUGACACCACGUUUUCUAUAUCACCCAAUGUGCUGAAGGGUGCAAAUCAUUUGUAAAAGCAUUAAGUUGGUUACAUUGGCUAAGCAGUUGAAAUUGUAAGCUCUUGAAUGUCAAGCGCUGACCCUGUGGGGUGGGGGGAGGUUGAAGUGGAAUGGUGUGGUGGAGGGCAGGCUUUGGGUCAUGUUUUAUACUGGAAGUUUAAUUGUCCUGGCAAGGAUGUUGAAGUGACUCAUUGAGCUGAAGUGGAUUCUAUCUUCCAGCACAGAUUUGAAAUGGGGGAGGAUAGCGCAGCAAUAGUAUCUUUAAAAGAAUUGGCUUAGUUUGCCUCAGCCCCUAACUACUUCCAUGCAGAUUCAUUUGUUUUGGACACCAAUGUUGAAAGCAAGCCAAUGAUAGCAAAAAUAGUGUCUAUGUCGCCCCUUUUGAACCCACACAAACCUUUUCACUGUGUUUAAGCCAGGGAUUUUUUUUUCCAAAGAAAAUUACAUGUUCUUUGGUCCUUUCCGAUCUUUUAUUGAAGAACGUUAAAUAGUUUAUAGCUAGAAAGAAUUAUAAAGUCAUCAUGACACCAAGUUUGUGCAAUGGUGUUUUCCAAAUGUGUUUUGAUUAUUCUCACAGAAACUCUCAUCCCACUCAGAGAUGAGUGUUUCUAACUUGGCGUUGUAAGGUGAGUCAUGCUGUCUGUUUAUCCCCGGGACAUAGGUGCUGGAUUUACCUUGCUUUAAAGGAAUGCUCUCUGCAUGGGUUUUAUAAUCCUUUGCUAGUCAGUGGCCAACCCCCUGAGAUGCCCCUUGUGUCACUG